UUGGUUCAACGAGCUAAAAUCCCAGUGCAACCAAACACUUAUGAUUGUGGUGUAAUCAUGAUGAAGGCUAUUGAAAUAUGGGAUGGAGAGGAGAAAUUUGAUGGCAACAACAUGCCUGACUACACAAAUGAGGAGUUGCAGGGUUUUAGGAAGAAGUUUAUAUGGGCUUGGAUAAUGGAUGAGGACAACGUCAGAAGAAUUGAAACGCUUCACGACUUUGGAUUGAUUUAGCAAUAGGAAUGAACUGUUGUUUGGGUUUUCAUUGCAAAUUAGUUUGAAAACAACAGUCAUUGAUGACAAUUGUGGGAAAUUGUAAAUGAAUUUUGUAGUCAGAAGU